GAUGAACGCUAGCGGCAGGCUUAACACAUGCAAGUCGAGGGGUAGAAGCAGCUUGCUGCUUUGAGACCGGCGCACGGGUGCGUAACGCGUAUGCAAUCUACCUUUUACAGAGGGAUAGCCCAGAGAAAUUUGGAUUAAUACCUCAUAGUAUGUGAGAAUCGCAUGGUUUUCACAUUAAAGUUCCAACGGUAAAAGAUGAGCAUGCGUCCCAUUAGCUAGAUGGUAAGGUAACGGCUUACCAUGGCGACGAUGGGUAGGGGUCCUGAGAGGGAGAUCCCCCACACUGGUACUGAGACACGGACCAGACUCCUACGGGAGGCAGCAGUGAGGAAUAUUGGACAAUGGGCGCAAGCCUGAUCCAGCCAUGCCGCGUGCAGGAUGACGGUCCUAUGGAUUGUAAACUGCUUUUGUACAGAACGAAAAAGGUCUCUAUUAAUACUAGGGGCUCAUGACGGUACUGUAAGAAUAAGCACCGGCU
rnacentral:rRNA from 1 species